rnacentral:ncRNA from 2 species
GGGUCCGGGCGAAUAGUUCCCGGAGGUGCUUUUUUGAUGGUCGGGCCGCCAUCU